rnacentral:misc_RNA from 1 species
GCUUCGACCGCUACGACGGGACGAUGCAGUUUUAUCACCGCGUCAACGCGCUCCUUAUGCCGGAUUUCACCGUCGUUGAUUUCGGUGCAGGCCGCGGCGUCAAUCAUAUCGAAGAUCAGAUAAAAUAUCGGCGCGAGCUACUGAAGAUCAAAGGCAAGGUUAGGGAGACCAUCGGAGUCGAUGUCGACAAUGCGGUAAAAACCAAUCCCGCACUCGACCGCUCCAUCGUCAUUACAGGAUCCGAAAU